GUUAAUGCCUGGCGAGCAUCUGCGGGAAGAAGGGUGGGGCAAGUGUUAAUCGGAAGUACUGGGAGGAAAGCGUGAGCUGGAGGCUAUAUAAGGCAUAUGUUAAAGACCUAGGCGCAACCUAGGAACUGCAUGGUAAACGAAUAAACUAGAUUAUCGUAGAGGGAGGUAGAAUGCCAGGUGUAGCGUGGAAAGGCGUAGAUAUCUGGAGGAAUACCAGUGGCGAAGGCGACCUCCUGGACGAAAACUGACGCUCAAGCACGAAAGCAUGGGGAGCAAACAGGAUUAGAUACCCUAGUAGUC
rnacentral:rRNA from 1 species